GUCAUUGUAGUAUAGUGGUGAGUAUUCCCGCUAGACACGCGGGUGACCCUGGUUCGAUCCCCUGCAACAGUGAUU
rnacentral:tRNA from 1 species